rnacentral:rRNA from 1 species
GUGAUCCUACGGGGAGCAGCAGUGAGGAAUAUUGGUCAAUGGGCGGUAGCCUGAACCAGCCAAGUAGCGUGAAGGAUGAAGGUUCUAUGGAUUGUAAACUUCUUUUAUAAAGGAAUAAAGUGAGGCACGUGUGCCUUUUUGUAUGUACUUUAUGAAUAAGGAUCGGCUAACUCCGUGCCAGCAGCCGCGGUAAUACGGAGGAUGCGAGCGUUAUCCGGAUUUAUUGGGUUUAAAGGGUGCGCAGGCGGACCAUCAAGCCAGCGGUAAAAUCGUGGGGCCCAACCCCA